rnacentral:rRNA from 1 species
AGUGAACGCUGGCGGUAUGCCUAACACAUGCAAGUCGAACGGCAGCACAGUAAGAUCUUUCUCUUACGGUUGGCGAGUGGCGGACGAGUGAGGAAUACAUCGCAAUCUACUUUUUCUUGGGUGACUACGUAAGGACACUUACGCUAAUACCUCAUAUAACCUACGGGUUAAAUCAGUAGUGCUUCGGACCUUUCGCGAUUCUAUGAGCCGAUGUCGGAUUAGCUAGUUGGCUGGGUAAGGGCCCACCAAGGCAACGAUCCGUAGCUGAGCUGAGAGGAUGAUCAGCCACACUGGAACUGAGACACGGUCCAGACUCCUACGGGAGGCAGCAGUGGGGAAUAUUGGACAAAGGGCGAAAGCCUGAUCCAGCAACACCGCGUGGGUGAAGAAGGUCUUCGGGUUGUAAAGCUCUUUUGUUGGGAAAGAAAAAAAGCAGGUUAAUCCACGGAUGUUCUGACGGUACCCAAAGAAUAAGCAACGGCUAACUUCGUG